GAAAAUAGGCUCAGUGGUAGAGCACUUGCCUAGCAUGCACGAGGCACUGGGUUCGAUCCUCAGCA
rnacentral:tRNA from 1 species